GUCAUCCGCUGAGAAGUGAUCUGCAUCCCAGACCUGCAGCGUUAGACGAGGAGGGAUUUUGUACUCGGUCUCGUCCCAGGAGAACAUGGACUCUUUCUUGGAGAUGACAAUCUUCUCUUCAGCCACCAGCUUCUUCUUCAGUCUGUCGAAAAGGGACAGUGAUUCUCUGCAACCAGACUUCUUAUGAAACAUGUCAGUCUGUGUAACAUCUGGAUGGAAGCCACUCACCAUGUCAACUUUCACAACAGCGUCAGACAUCUACGACGGAAGGACAUCACAAGGAUUCAUGCACAGAGUGGAUGGAUUAAGCAUAGAAGUACAUAUAUAAGAGCAGGCUCCGUGUCCAAAUUGACGACGACGUCACCUGCAGGACGAGAAAAGGCGCGGGAAGAAAGGCUGGGUAAGGGGCGGGGCUGGGAGCUGCCAUUGGUUAGGACCAUGUAGCCAUUCAUUAGCUUAGCUGGAUUGCAGUCGAGGGUUAAAGACAGCAGCAGCAGGAGGAGGCAGCAGGACGGGAAAGGACAGAACAGGCAGGAACAUGCAGAAGAGGAGUGAGAUGAUGGGUGGAGAGCGGACACAGGUGAGAGUGAUGGUCAGGGCAGAAGGAAAGGAAGCACAGAAACGAGAGCAGUUAAUAAAGAAGAGGAUUUCUUCUUUAUGAACAAGAGAGCUACAUCAGAAGUAAAGGUUUAACACUUACAGAGAGCUCUAUGAACAGCUUUUAUGUCCUUAAACUUACACAGGAGUAAACUUCAACAACAGAAACUUUAAGCACAAAAGUAGAAGAGAUGAUGUUAAAGGGCAAAAACUCCCCAAAAAACCAAAUUAAUCAUUAAUAAAAGUUGCUGUUAAUUGUUUUUUAUAUAUAGAAAGGAUUAAAAUUAAGUGAUUUUAAAAGCUUUGACACAAACAAUUAGAAUUAAGCUCAAAUGUUGAAACAUUUUCUUUAAAUAAGCAUAAAAGAUCAUGUUUUGAUCUAAUUUCAAUGCGCUCCUAGUUGUCUUUUCAUUACGAUUAGGUCAUUUUUACCAAAAUCGAAAAAUUAUGUCGUUUCUAGGACAUAGUUUCUGCAGAGUGUCGGUAGUUUAUUAAAAAUUUGCUUCUGUAAAGGGUAAAUUGAAGCUUUAUGUCACUUAAUGUCAGCUGUUUCCUGCUCUAACUUGUUCAAACUGACAUUUAUAGGAGAAAUACUAAAGAUGAAUGAUCAACAACAAAUUAUUUUAAUUCAAAAUAGCUAAGAAAUUUUUACAAGAUGUCAUUUAUUUAGGACAAUCAGCAAUUUUAAUUAAUGAAAAAAGCACCCAAAAGCAUUGAAUAAGGUCCAAAAAUUGAUUUUUAAUUAAGCAAAAAAAAAGUUUUUUCACUGUUUAUGGUUCUGUCAGUUAUUAUUGGUUUACUACAAGAUAAAAGGAGUAAAAAAUGUGUAUAUUACAGUUUAAUGGGAGUCUGCUUGUGAGAGUUUUAUCAGAGGGUGGAGUGUUGGCACCUGCAGAUGCCCAGUUGUUGGAGGUUUUGUCCGGCGGACUGUAGAUGAAGCGUCUGAGGCUGGAGACGGCGUGAGAUCCCACCAGGAUGUAGCGCCCGAACGCUCUACAGUCCACCACCCUGAUGUUGAGAGGAGGAUGGAGAAGCUCGUUUUCUGGAAGGUCCUUUAAGCACCAAGAAAAAAAAAAAAAAAAA